AUGAGCUGGGGUCCCACUCUCCGAUUUCUGCGGGAACCAGAGGCCCAGGUGGGUCCAGAUGUGAGAGGGUUUCCUCAGCCCACCUGCAUGCCCUCUCAUAUGGGCCAAACUUUACCAGGCUUCAUUGGCUCUGGGCUACCUCAGCCUCCUCCACCUUGGUCGACAUGGGGGCCUCCCCCGCACCUCGUUCCUACAUGUGGUAAGAUGACCUGGAUUGCAUGAUGUGAGUUGUAGCGCGUAUUCAUCAUGUAACUACUUGUGUCGGUGGAGAAGAUGUAGAGGAGGUACCACGAGGCUUUGCAAUGCAAGGAUCAACCUGAGUGAGGACACAGGAACAUUUCUCAACUUUCUGUGGACCUCCAUUUCAUGGACUGUCUCAUUUCACCAUACAGAACUGGGCAGCAGGGGUCUGCCAUUGAGAAGAAGUGUGACAUUGUGCAAUAGACAGACAUAAAAGCAUUGCCCAGGUGCACUGUACAGACAUGAUGUUUUGGGCUCUUGGCUUAAUGGAGCACAGUCUUCACAUCACUUGCACGUGUGGAGGCCCAAUUGUGCAGCAUUAUUGAUUAGUUAUGAAAUCAUCUCUACUGUGCGGAGUGGUCAUAUCCCCAAGGGUGAGGGACUGGUCUCUUCUUUGUCCACAGAGGUCAGCGGAGACCUGUGAGAAACGCUCUGCAUCUGGAAGGGACCUGAGAGUGGGAGAGUAGAACAGGCUGGGGCAGGUGUAGAGGCUUGGUUUGAAUCUUGCGUGGUCAACACCCGUCUGAAUCCACCUCUGUCUCUUCUAGGGCCUCAGUUCCAUUCAGAAGGCUGUGGCGCUCAAGGGGACAACAGUGGCACCGCACCCAAGAAGGACCCAGAAAAGGACAAGGUAAAUACGGUGGCUGUUUCCAGUUGUAACCAUUUCUGGAAUCCUGUUCCUGUCUGGGCAGCACUGUGUCCUGGCCUUGUGUCUGUUGGGUAUAUCUUGGGAUCUGUGUGUGGUGCUGUUUACCUUUUAAAAUGCCAAGUCUUCAUGCAGGAGCCUACAGGCUUCUGUGUUUCCAGUUCGUCACCUUUGGGAUGUGUCGGUGGAACAAAGGCAGAGUUUGUGCAGAGGUCUUGACAUUGCAAGGGAAACCCUGCCUGAGAUGUUUUAAUAUCCUGAAGUUUCUCAGGACAUAAUGCAUUGUGCUUGGCUAUUUCCUCACACUGAGCAGUGGGGCAGGUGCCACUGUUGGGA
rnacentral:lncRNA from 1 species